rnacentral:rRNA from 1 species
UCCGUAGGGUGCGAUCGUUAAUCGGAAUUACUGGGCGUAAAGCGUGCGCAGGCGGUUAUGUAAGACAGAGGUGAAAUUCCCGGGCUCAACCUGGGAACUGCAUUUGUGACUGCAUGACUAGAGUACGGCAGAGGGGGAUGGAAUUCCGCGUGUAGCAGUGAAAUGCGUAGAUAUGCGGAGGAACACCGAUGGCGAAGGCAAUCCCCUGGGCCUGUACUGACGCUCAUGCACGAAAGCGUGGGGAGCAAACAGG